UGGCUGCUCGGAGAUGCAUAUAAUUACCAGCAACUGGCGCUGGGUAGGCGAAGCCGGGAGAAACUGCUGAGACGAGAUGAGGAAACUGAGGCACAGAAGGGUAACCAACAUGACAAAGCCUGGAUCCAGCCAGUCCCGUGACUCCUGAGGCCAGGCCCAGCAGCCCCUGCCUCUCUGAGGCGGAUAAAAGGGAGUUGUUUCUAGAGCUGUUGCCGUGAGACCUUCAGGCAGAUAAAUUGUCACAGAGUCUUGA